CUAGCAUGGUUUCAUAUACUAGUUAUUCAUUCCAUGAACUAUUCCUUGAUGUAGUUUUCUGUGUUUAUUUCCUCCUCUUGAAUUGUACAGCUUCCAUGGCAACAAAAAUGAGUAGAAAAGUGUUUUGGGUUUCCUUACUCAAGCAACACAUGUGCAUUCUUCCUGCAGGGCCUCUGAGAAAUGUAAUCAAGCCAAGCUUUCAGAGUGAAUGGUGAACCCCGCAACAUGCUCUCCUCUAUGGGAAAAGAAAAGAAUUUUCUGGACUGAAGAGUGUGAUUGUGGUUGCAGAUCUGCCUCACGGUCUUGUGGGGCCUCAAGAUUCCACUCGAGGCAGUUUUACAGGAAACAUGGUGCUGGAAUCUGCUCAGCUUCUGAGGAGGCCUCGGGAAGCUUGCAAUCAUGGUGGAAGGUGAAAGAGGAGCAGGGAUCUCACAUGGCCAGAAGAGGAAGAAGGGUCGGGAAUUGCUGGCUUUUGAAUAACCAGAUUUAGCAGGAAGUCGCUGACUAUCCUGAGGACAGCAUCAAGCCAUGAGAGAUCCACCUCCAUGACCCAAACACCUCCCCACACUAGGCCACACCUCCAGUACUGGUUGUUACGACAUAAGAUUUAGAGGGGACAACAUUCAAAUUAUAUCAUUUUUAUCCUUCAUUUGUAUAAACAGAUCUGAUUGGGAACCUAGGCAGGAACUUUUGCUACAAAACCCAAACCCUCUUUGUUCUCUGGAAAGCAUGGAAUCUUCAUUUUAUACCCAAGGCUGUGUCUCCCUGGUUUGCAAACUGUUCACUGGAAUAAAGUCUCUUUCCAUCGAAUUCCUUUUCAGAUAACUUUUGUUCAUAGAUACUCUGAAUAAAAAGGUUCUAAAAUGAGGCUGAACAUUAAAAUCUCCAGAGAAACCUUUUUAAAAUAAUACGAAUGGUUGAGUCUUGACUCAAUGGGUCUGGAGUAGGACAUAGGCAUUAAAAUGAUUUUAAAAGCUCUCCAAAUGCCUUUAAUAUGCAGUCUGUGUUGAAGACAUUAAUGGAUUGAAUUCCUUUAAUUAUGGGUGAGAUUACCUGAAUUCAUUAUAUCUGUUUCUUUACAUCUGCUAAAGGUGUCAUUUCAAUACCACCAUUCAGUCAUGCCCCUCUUAAUGAAUAGAAAAAGAACUUACAAAAAAU
rnacentral:lncRNA from 1 species